ACGGGGGGAGCAAGCGUUGUUCGGAUUUACUGGGCGUAAAGGGCGCGUAGGCGGUCAGCACAAGUCAGUUGUGAAAUCUCCGGGCUUAACUCUGAAAGGUCAACUGAUACUGUGCGACUAGAGUGCGGAAGGGGCAACUGGAAUUCUCGGUGUAGCGGUGAAAUGCGUAGAUAUGCGGAGGAACACCGAUGGCGAAGGCAAUCCCCUGGGCCUGCACUGACGCUCAUGCACGAAAGCGUGGGGAGCAAACAGGA
rnacentral:rRNA from 1 species